rnacentral:rRNA from 1 species
GAUGAACGCUGGCGGCGUGCCUAAUACAUGCAAGUCGAGCGAACAGACGAGGAGCUUGCUCCUCUGACGUUAGCGGCGGACGGGUGAGUAACACGUGGAUCACCUACCUAUAAGACUGGGAUAACUUCGGGAAACCGGAGCUAAUACCGGAUAAUAUAUUGAACCGCAUGGUUCAAUAGUGAAAGACGGUUUUGCUGUCACUUCUAGAUGGAUCCGCGCCGCAUUAGCUAGUUGGUAAGGUAACGGCUUACCAAGGCAACGAUGCGUAGCCGACCUGAGAGGGUGAUAGGCCACACUGGAACUGAGACACGGUCCAGACUCCUACGGGAGGCAGCAGUAGGGAAUCUUCCGCAAUGGGCGAAAGCUUGACGGAGCAACGCCGCGUGAGUGAUGAAGGUCUUCGGAUCGUAAAACUCUGUUAUUAGGGAAGAACAAAUGUGUAAGUAACUAUGCACGUCUUGACGGUACCUAAUCAGAAAGCCACGGCUAACUACGUG